GUCCUUGUAGCUUAUAAUCAAAGCAUAGCACUGAAGAUGCUAAGAUGAUGCACCACGCACCCGAGGACA
rnacentral:tRNA from 1 species